GACGAACGCUGGCGGCGUGCUUAACACAUGCAAGUCGAACGGAAAGGCCCUGCUUUUGUGGGGUGCUCGAGUGGCGAACGGGUGAGUAACACGUGAGUAACCUGCCCUUGACUUUGGGAUAACUUCAGGAAACUGGGGCUAAUACCGGAUAGGAGCUCCUGCUGCAUGGUGGGGGUUGGAAAGUUUCGGCGGUUGGGGAUGGACUCGCGGCUUAUCAGCUUGUUGGUGGGGUAGUGGCUUACCAAGGCUUUGGCGGGUAGCCGGCCUGGGAAGGUGACCGGCCCACAUGGGACUAAGGUACGGACCAGAAUCCUACGGGAGGCAGCAGUGGGGAAUAUUGCACAAUGGGCGGAAGCCUGAUGCAGCAACGCCGCGUGCGGGAUGACGGCCUUCGGGUUGUAAACCGCUUUCGCCUGUGACGAAGCGUGAGUGACGGUAAUGGGUAAAGAAGCACCGGCUAACUACGUG
rnacentral:rRNA from 1 species